rnacentral:rRNA from 1 species
UACGGGGGGGGCAAGCGUUGUUCGGAAUUACUGGGCGUAAAGGGCUCGUAGGCGGCCAACUAAGUCGGAUGUGAAAUCCCCAGGCUUAGCCUGGGAACUGCAUCCGAUACUGGAUGGCUUGAAUUCGGGAGAGGGAUGCAGAAUUCCAGGUGUAGCGGUGAAAUGCGUAGAUAUCUGGAGGAAUACCGGUGGCGAAGGCGGCAUCCUGGACCGACAUUGACGCUGAUGAGCGAAAGCUAGGGGAGCAAACGGG